UUGAACGCUGGCGGCAGGCCUAACACAUGCAAGUCGAGCGGUUGAGAGUAGCUUGCUACUUGAUGCAGCGGCGGACGGGUGAGUAACGCGUGGGAAUCUGCCCAGUAGUGGGGGACCACAGCCGGAAACGGCUGCUAAUACCGCAUACGCCCUACGGGGGAAAGGGGGGGAUCUUCGGACCGCUCGCUAUUGGAUGAGCCCGCGUCGGAUUAGCUAGUUGGUAGGGUAAAGGCCUACCAAGGCUACGAUCCGUAACUGGUCUGAGAGGAUGAUCAGUCACACUGGAACUGAGACACGGUCCAGACUCCUACGGGAGGCAGCAGUGGGGAAUAUUGGACAAUGGGGGAAACCCUGAUCCAGCCAUGCCGCGUGUGUGAAGAAGGCCUUAGGGUUGUAAAGCACUUUCAGUGGGGAGAAAGGUUUGUCACCUAAUACGUGAUGAAAUUGAUGUUACCCACAGAAGAAGCACCGGCUAACUCCGUGCCAGCCGCCGCCGUAAGAC
rnacentral:rRNA from 1 species